GAAGACAGCUGUCAGCAGCGCAGGAAGCCACUAUUAAGAGAAAACUAAAGUGGCAUUUGGAGUCCUGCUGUCGCUGGGGCAAACUGGGGCGUGGACUCCAUCCACAGGGACGGAGAGAGCAGCUGGAGGCCUUGACAGUGAAGACUCCCAAGG
rfam:Camelus ferus unplaced genomic scaffold scaffold668, whole genome shotgun sequence.